GCCGGGCAUGGUGGUGCAUGACUGUAGUCCCAACUACUUGGGAAGCUGAGGCUGGAGGAUUGCUUGAGUCCAGGAGUUCUGGGCUGCACUCUGCUGGUCAAGUGUCCACACUUAAGUUUGACAACAUUAUAGUGACCUCCCAGGAGUGGGGGACCACCAGGUUGCCUAAGGAGAAGUGAAGUAGUCCAAGUGAGAAACAGAGCAGGUCAAAACUCCCAUGGUGAUCAGUAGUGGGAUUGUGCCUGUGAAUAGCCACUGCACUCCAGCCUGGGCAAUAUAAUGAGAUCCUGUCUCU
rnacentral:SRP_RNA from 1 species